GUGUGAUUCAUUUUUGUCCCCUGCACGUGUAUAUAUAUAUCUUAUAUGAAGUUUAUUAAUCUUCUAUAUCUUCUCGGCUAGAGUUUGGAUUUCUUCUCGACAGAGAUAGUAUAAAAUGGAUACAGAUAAUUUGUCUUUAUUUUACAUCAAUCUCUAAGAUCUUGACUCAGGAUGUCAGGCUUCAUAAAGCAUCUUGAAGC